GUAGUCAGGGAAUAUUUUUUCAAAAGUAAGGCUAAAAAAUCCUACCUGAGGUUUGAAGGCAAAAGCAGUUGCCCGGUAAGGUUCAAAUCUCUGUCUCUGCAGUUUUGUUUUCUCACACACAUUAUGUAAGCAAGUCACCUCACACCUAAAAUGUGUCUCAAUUUGUGUUUGUUCUGCUUUUUUAUUGCCACAUUUGAAAAUUAAUAAUUCAAUGUCCUAAUAUUAGCUGUCAUCUUAGCUGUGAUAAAAUUAAUAAUUCAUCAAACCAAAAUCAAACAAAUGCCACCUUUUUAUGCUGGAUGAGGAAUAUACUUUGCUGCAUUUGCAGAGCUAAAUUUGGUGAGAAUCACCACUUUACUUUGAAUUAAAUCAUAUUUUACCAAUUAAUAUACCAUUUUAGCAUCUUUAUUCUCUUUGAAAUUAACUCUAAGGAAGGGUUUUGCACAUCCACAUACAGGUUUUAUUUUUACAUUUCUUUUCCAGAUGAAAAGAACGGUGGUUUGAAAAGGCAAGGAACAUUCAUUCAUUUUUAUACCCUUUCCUUCUGGUCAUGCAUAUCCAACUUUUCCAGGGGAAGUAUCCACUGUACCUGCAGUGCUCUGGCCAAAUUCCAGAUCUGUGUAAUUACACUCAGCCUGUCUAAAUUCUUGCUGGAUUAAAUUGGGUUUUUUUGGGGUGUUUUUUUGAGAAGGAAUUCCCCUUUUCCCUGGGUUGUUGGGGAGUGCUGUGAGUGCUGCUCCUCUCAGCAGGAGCUGCCUGGGCUCCAGCAGAAGGUGGAGGGAUUUCCAAGUGUGGAGAGCAGCCUGUGUUAAAUCUGCAAAGCGUUUGGAGAUCCUUUGGGGAAAUACCAGCUCAGUCCACACAGAAAACCCCCCAACUUCCACCACCACUGCACCCCACUUGCUGCAGCUCAGAAACUCCUGAUCCCUGCUCUGGUGCCACAUCUUGCUGCCAGUCCACCUCCACGCUCUUCCACCUUUUCCUCAUAUUUAGAAUCAGAGAAUCAUGGAACUGUUUGAGUUGGACCUUAAUGAUCAUCUCAUUCCAAGGCUGGGACACCUUCCACCAGCCCAGGCUGUCUCAAGAUCUCUCCAGUGUGGCCUUGUAUGUACAAUAAUCACAUAAAUCACUUUCCAUAUUGCCUUAGUCCCCAUGUGCCUCCAUAACUCACCUGUCUUUCCCAAUACCAUAUCAAACUCCCAUCUUAUCACUCAUUUUUUUUCCUUUUCCAUUUUGCUGUUACUCACCUGACUGGAUGAUGUGGAAUUGAGAUUCCUGUCACUUAGCCCUCCUUAAAGGGACAGGUUUUCUAAUGGAAAUUGAAUAGGAAAGGUUGGAUUCCGUGGGGAAAUUUCAAAUUGACAAAUUUUCUGAAUGGAUCUCUCCUAACCUUGUUGCAUAUAAUAUAUGCAUGUAUUGAGCUUAAUUUUUGGUUAGUAUCAAAAUGUAUUGAUCUGCAAGAUAAAUAUUGACUUGACCUCGCUUUCUCUCAGUCUAUAUUUACUUCUAGAGUCAAUAAGUCUAGAAACUGAUCUGACAGGAGUCAAUAAUGGCUUAAAAUUCUCAAAAUAGCAGCUUUUCUCUAAGGUUGCAAUUUUUUUUUAUUUUAAAGUUACUGCCUUAAAUACAUAAAAUGCUCAGGAGGACUUAACACUUUGCUGCACAAAGCCAUUGGGGAAACACUCAAAUGCCAGAAGACUUUGAUGUGACUUCAGGCCAACUGUGCCAUUUCAGCACUGGCCAAGCCAUAUUGUAAAUAUUUUAAUAGUGACCUACUGCAGUCCAUCUUUUUUCCCUGUCUAUCCUCAAAACUUGGGGCUUUGCUCUGGAGGGUAUGCCUGAGCAUCACAGAUUGGAUUUGUCAGGGCCAAA
rnacentral:lncRNA from 1 species